UACAGAGGGGGCAAGCGUUGUCCGGAAUUACUGGGCGUAAAGGGCGCGUAGGCGGCCGCCUAAGUCAGACGUGAAAUCCCUCGGCUCAACCGGGGAACUGCGUCUGAUACUGGGUGGCUUGAAUCCGGGAGAGGGAUGCAGAAUUCCAGGUGUAGCGGUGAAAUGCGUAGAUAUCUGGAGGAAUACCGGUGGCGAAGGCGGCAUCCUGGACCGACAUUGACGCUGAUGAGCGAAAGCUAGGGGAGCAAACGGG
rnacentral:rRNA from 1 species